rnacentral:rRNA from 1 species
CGCUAUUGGAGUUCGAUUAAGACAUGCGAGUCUGAGCAUUAGCUCGGCGUACCGCUCAGUAACACGUGGGUAACCUGCCCUAUCGUUUUGAAUAACCUCGGGAAACUGAGAACAAUACAUCAUAGUCCACUACGCCUGGAACGGUGAGUGGAUGAAGGUAGGAUGGGCCUGCGGCGUAUCAGGUUGUAGGGGGUGUAAUGGACCUCCUAGCCAUCGACGCGUACGGGUGUUGGGAGACAUAGCCCGGAGAUGGAUUCUGAGACACGAAUCCAGGCCCUACGGGGCGCAGCAGUUACGAAAACUUGGCAAUGCGGGAAACCGUGACCAGGGAACUCCAAGUGAGUCUCUUUUAGGGGCUCUUUUCUUGACUCUAAAACGGUCUUGGAAUAAGGGGUGGGUAAGGACGGUGCCAGCCGCCGCGGUAAUACCGGCGCCUCAAGUGGUCGUCGCUUUUAUUGGGCCUAAAACGUCCGUAGCCGGUUUGGUACAUUCGUGGGUAAAUCAGCUCGCUCAACGAGUUGAAUUCUGCGAGGACCGCCAGACUAGGGACCGGGAGAGGUGUGGGGAACUCUCAGGGUAGGGGUCAAAUCCUGUCAUCCUGAGAGGACCACCUGUUGCGAAGGCGCCACACUAGAACGGAUCCGACGGUCAGGGACGAAGCCUAGGGGCACGAACCGGAUUAGAUACCCGGGUAGUCCUAGGUGUAAACGCUGUAGACUUGGUGUUGGGGAA